rnacentral:rRNA from 1 species
CAGUCGCCGCGGUAAUACGUAGGUCCCGAGCGUUGUCCGGAUUUAUUGGGCGUAAAGCGAGCGCAGGCGGUUAGUUAAGUCUGAAGUUAAAGGCUGUGGCUUAACCAUAGUACGCUUUGGAAACUGUUUAACUUGAGUGCAAGAGGGGAGAGUGGAAUUCCAUGUGUAGCGGUGAAGUGCGUAGAUAUAUGGAGGAACACCGGUGGCGAAAGCGGCUCUCUGGCUUGUAACUGACGCUGAGGCUCGAAAGCGUGGGGAGCAAACAGGAUUAGAGACCCCCGUAGUCCCUGUCUCUUAUACA